rnacentral:rRNA from 1 species
AGAGUUUGAUCCUGGCUCAGAGUGAACGCUGGCGGCAGGCCUAACACAUGCAAGUCGAGCGGCAGCGGGUCCUUCGGGAUGCCGGCGAGCGGCGGACGGGUGAGGAAUGCGUCGGAAUCUGCCUUUUUGUGGGGGAUAACGUAGGGAAACUUACGCUAAUACCGCAUACGACCUACGGGUGAAAGUGGGGGACCGCAAGGCCUCACGCAGAAAGAUGAGCCGACGCCGGAUUAGCUAGUUGGCGGGGUAAAGGCCCACCAAGGCGACGAUCCGUAGCUGGUCUGAGAGGAUGAUCAGCCACACUGGAACUGAGACACGGUCCAGACUCCUACGGGAGGCAGCAGUGGGGAAUAUUGGACAAUGGGCGCAAGCCUGAUCCAGCCAUGCCGCGUGAGUGAAGAAGGCCUUCGGGUUGUAAAGCUCUUUUGUUGGGGAAGAAAAGCUUCGGAUUAAUACUUCGGAGUUCUGACGGUACCCAAAGAAUAAGCACCGGCUAACUUCGUG